rnacentral:lncRNA from 1 species
AUGUGUAGCAAUUUUUGGUGCUUUCUUUUUAAAUCUGUCAUAAUCUGGUGUUCUGAAUGUUCAACAAUAAAUUUGGUGAACAAGGGCAUGUGGUGCAGAGAUUGUUUGCCAGUUCACAUACUCCACAAUACCAUCUCAGGAGAAAAUCCUUCAAGAUUACUUCUUUACAGCACAUCUGGAUUUCAGAAAUUUGAAGACCUAUGCAUGGCACAUAAUGACACAUUACAGCUUUGUUCCACCAUGCCCAAAGCACUCCUGCUGCUGUGUGUUGUCCUGGUGCUACUUGGGCUUGUGCCUGGAGCCACAGUGAGAAACGGAGAGAAAUGGAAGCCGCUCAACAAUCCCCGGAACAGAGAGCUGGUGUCUGGCUAUUUUAAAACUACAGAUCAAGCUUCUCAUCAGAAAAAUUCAAUCAUGGUCAUGGCUAAACCUUUUCCCCCUCCACUUUUGUCAAUUUAUAAUGGUUUUAUUCUACAUUUCCAGAUUUACAUAUAAAUGGGUCGAGCUUUGGGACAUAUGUGACUUAUGUGCAUAUUUUUGGAGUCUUUUUUCCAUUCUAUAAACCAUAAACAUCAAUGUAGAGCACUGGACAUAUUUCUAAGAGUUACAAAAAUACUGUAGAGUCCAAAGAGAUGAUGAUCUUUCAAAUUACCUUUCCUUUAAGCUUGUCUUUCAAGCUUGUGUGCUUAUUACCUUUUAUCAAUAAAUAUUAAAAAAUUUUUUUANGUUUAUUUAUU